AACGAACGCUGGCGGCAUGCCUAACACAUGCAAGUCGAACGAGACCUUCGGGAGUUUGCGCGCACGGGUUUGUAACGGGAGGGGACCUGACCUUAGGGUUGGCAUAACUCUCCGACAGGGAUACUAUUACCAGACAAUGUCUUCUAACCAAAGAUUUAUCGCAUUUGAUUGGUCCAGAGUUGAAUACGGUUGUUGUUACGCUAAAAGCUUCCUAAGGCGACGAUCCAUAGCUGGUCUGUGAGGAUGAUCAGCGACACUGAGACUGGGACCCGGCCGAGACUCCUACGGGAGGCAGCAGUGGGUAAUGUUGGACAGUGGCCGAAGGCAUGAAGCAGCAAUGCCGCGUGAGUGAUGAAGGCAUUAGGGUUGUAAAGCUCUUUUACCCGGGAUGAUAAUGACAGUACCGGGACAAUAAGCUCCGGCUAACUCCGUG
rnacentral:rRNA from 1 species